rnacentral:rRNA from 1 species
AUACGGAGGAUCCAAGCGUUAUCCGGAAUCAUUGGGUUUAAAGGGUCCGUAGGUGGAUAAUUAAGUCAGAGGUGAAAUCCUGCAGCUCAACUGUAGAAUUGCCUUUGAUACUGGUUAUCUUGAGUUAUUAUGAAGUAGUUAGAAUAUGUAGUGUAGCGGUGAAAUGCAUAGAUAUUACAUAGAAUACCGAUUGCGAAGGCAGAUUACUAAUAAUAUACUGACACUGAGGGACGAAAGCGUGGGGAGCGAACAGGAUUAGAUACCCUAGUAGUCC